GCUGAGGGGGUAGGAUUGCCUGAGCCCAGGACGUCCGGGCUGCAGGGAGCUGGGUUCACAACACUGCCCUCCAGCCUGGGUGACAGAGAGAGACCUUGCCUUAAACAAAAACCAAAAAACUGACUAGGCAGGGGCAGGCUCCCAGGCUCUCGCCACUUCUGGCCGCCAUAAACAGAGAAGCAGUGUGCUGCGGCUGCUGAAAACCAAAAUUAACUGCUGCCUCAGCCAAACCAACAGAAGUGGAAGUGUGGCUCCGAGGUCUGGGAAGUCCCACUGCUCUUGGCAUGGCACCGGGGUGGGGUCACCCUUCAAGAGACCACUGAACGCGUCCCCCAGUGCACCGCAUCCCAGCCCGAGACUGCAGAGUGCAGCGGCCCGGACUGUGUGCGCCAACACGCAAGGAAAGCACCUUCCUCAAAAUCACACAGCAAGCCAGUGACCCAGCCAGAACCAGCCCCAGACUCCCCACUCACAGUCCCACCUGUUCCCCACGCCGGCUGUACCCCUCCCUGCCAUGGUCAGUGACGAGACUGUGCUCCAGGGACCUCUGUCACCCUCAAGAAGAGAGGGAUCACCCAUCUCAAUCCCAAAGGCUGGGCUGCAGCCCCGAUGCUGGAAGUAAGGAGAGGGCCUCUUCCCUGGGUGGGUGUCUCCAGGCCCCUGGCCACCCUCUGGCAGAGCCCGUCCAUGCUUUCAGUUUCCCCAGGCCGCCUGUCCCAGCUGCCCUGACCCUGGGACUUUAAGAGGCCAGGCUAGUUUGCAGUCCCCUCCUACCUGGAAGCUGUUCCAUCCGGUACCAUCCAGGCUUGGGCCUGAAGGGGGUGUGGGGUCACUGAGGCCUGAGGGGAAAGCAGGAGAGAGGUGAAGGAACUGGGCUGCCCCUGCAGAGGCCAGAGCGCCAAGGGGCAUGUGUGCCGGCGUGGGGCUCCCUGCCCCCUUUCUGAGGCUGCAUAUGGAGGGGAGAAACCCACGCCUUCAGAAGCAACCAGCAGCAGAGCAGAACUAGAAACCAAGAUCCUGGUAGCCCCUGGUGGUGACCCCACACAUGCUUCCCCUCUUCUCAACCAGGCCACUCUGAAGCUACUGUGCACACAGAAAACAGACAUCAGGACUUUCAUCUUCACUCGCUGGCUGGCAGCACAGAGCAGCUCUGUGCCCGCCUGAGGCCAACUGCCCACUCAAGGGACGCCUGCUGCGUGACUGUGGGCUAAACACCAUGCUGGCUGAGCCACAGCGUCCCCCUGAGUACAAGGACAGGGCUUGACUGGGGGCAAUGCUGAAGGUCCUGUCGGCCUUGGUAUGUGCCAAUGAGGCUCACUGGUACCACAGAGGGAGGGGGAUCCUGUGGAUGGCCCUGGAAUUAGCUGUGGAUGGGAAGGAGGCAGCAGGUCACCAGCCAGCCUGACCUCUGCCUGCCCUGGAAUACUGUCAGCCAAGUUCACCCCAGAUCUGACCUAGAGAAGAUAAAUGAUCUUGUUUCUAGUAAAUCCUGAAAAAGUGAGGUCCAAUAUGAAGCGCUACCUGACAGGCAAAGGCAAAAGUACCAGGAAGCUGGGGCAGCUGGGUCUCUUCUAGCUGUGCCUCUUAGAGGCUGGAGAGCAAGUGCACUGAUGAUGCCCUGGAUGUGUCAGGCCCUGUAGAUGCUUUGAAGGUUGUUUGAUUAAUCCUCAAACAACCUUCAAAGGGAAGGGCAAGGUUCUCAGCCCUCUUUUAGGAUAAGAAAAUGGACCCAGAGGCGUUAAGUAACCUGCCCAAGGUCACACAGCUGGAAAGUGGCAGAGUCUGGACUUGGACUGAACAUGGCCCGACUGCCACCAUCUGAACACAACUCUGACACUUGGCCAUGUGAUACUGGCGGCGGGGGUGGGGGGGGUGCGGGGGGCAGGCAGCCUCAUCUUCAAAAUGGAGACAGCAGCCAGGUGCAGUGGCUAAUGUCUGUAAUCCCAGCUAUUUGGGAGACUGAAGCUGGAGUCUGAGAUAAGCUCAGACAACAUUAGCCAAUGUCUGUGGUCCCACCUACUUGGGAGGCUGAGAUGGGAGGAUUAGCGAAGGACAGAAGUUUGAGAUCAGCCUGAGCAAUGUAGUGAGACCCCAUCUCAAAACGAAAGAGAGGGGGGCGCAGUGGUUCAAGCCUGUCAUCCCAGCACUUUAGGAGGCCGAGGCGGCCAGAUCACUUGAGGCCAGGAGUUCAAUGCCAACCCGGCCAACAAGGGGGAAAUCCUGUGUCUUUAAGAAACAAAUUAACCAGGUGUGGUGGCACACACCUGUAGUCCCAACUACUCAGGAGCCUGAGGUGGGAGGAUCGCUUGAGACGGGAGAGGUGGAGGCUGCCUGAACACCCUCUUUGACAGACAGGAACCCUGUCCCACCCUGCCAUGGAGAGCAGUGGGGACAAGCCCCUCUGCGGCCCCAGGGCCUCCUCUACUCCCCAGGCCCAGGCUGCAGGUUGCCCGGGCACUUCUGGCUCCUACGCCCCCACACUUUGCCUCUGAGAGAAAACCAGAAGGAAGCUGGUGGCUCAGGGCUCUGCCGAUGCGGCUCGGGGACAGGAAGUGCAGCUUGCACCUCGCUUCUCCUGUGGCGGUGGCACUGCGGCUGCCUGCAAGGGUCUGGUGGUCCCGCAGUGCUUCCCUACUCACCAACUGCAGCUCAGGUGGCUGCCGCCCAGGGCUGGCUCCACAGGGGAAGGUAAACCUUGUGGAAGCGUUUGUUGACCAUUCUUUACCUCUGUAGAAUGGGGUAAAGGUCUUCUCCCCGAGGUCACCCUUGGCUCUGAAUGAAGAGGGGGCAGCUGUGUGGGGCUCGUAAGCGGCUUCAGGGAGGGUGCUGGCUGGUGGGUUCACAAGGGGACUCACAACCAGGCCUCCUUCCCUCAGCUCUCCCUCCACACCCCAGGUCAUUUCCCUUUAUUUGCUUAUGGACAAUGAGUCACAGCAGCAGAGCAGCUCAGAGUGUGGCUUCAGGAUCAGAGCCUAGCUCAAGUCCUGGAGCCCUUUCUGCACAAGUCACACAGUCUUUUUCUUUUGAGAUGGGGUCUUGCUCUGUCACCCAGGCUGGAGUGCAAAUGGCAUGAUCUCGGCUUACUGCAACCUCCGCCUCCCCAGUUCAAGUGAUUCUCUUGCCUCAGCCA